rnacentral:rRNA from 1 species
UACGGAGGGGAUUAGCGUUGUUCGGAAUUACUGGGCGUAAAGCGCACGUAGGCGGAUUUGUAAGUCAGGGGUGAAAUCCCGGGGCUCAACCUCGGAACUGCCUUUGAUACUGCAAAUCUCGAGUCCGGAAGAGGUGAGUGGAAUUCCUAGUGUAGAGGUGAAAUUCGUAGAUAUUAGGAAGAACACCAGUGGCGAAGGCGGCUCACUGGCCCGGUACUGACGCUGAGGCGCGAAAGCGUGGGGAGCAAACAGGG